GCCGUCUCAUUUCACAGCCUGAUUUCUUAGACCGCCGCCGCACAGCCCUAGACUUUCGCAAUCAUGAUCUCCGACCAAAAAAUCUCUGCCGCACUGCACACUUCGCCGAUUGGGUUGCGCCGCCAUGUGGUCACUCCCUCCCGUUGACACCCGCACCAACACCGGAUUCUGGAAAGAUAGGAAACGAUUUACACUAAUUGAAAGGUAGGUCUGAAAGUGAUGAUACAAUUGUAUGAAGUACUUUUCCGGAACACAACUCUAAUACGGAGGAAUCAAAUCUUGCGAACGUUCGUGAAAACAUAGAUGUUGGAAAGUGGGGCUCUACAAAAACACCUUCGAACACCAACAAAGGGCCAACUCCCUAAAGUAUGGUUACGUCACAUUAAUAACAACACUUUGUUGACGGAAUAAAUGCAGAACUCCAAAGCAAUAAAUGAGACAAGGUAUUUAGUAACACGUUUUGGUUAUAAAUCAACCUACAUAUGGAGAUAACAGUCCAAGAAAUAUUCUACUAUAAUAAACCCUGAUUACAAAACUAAAACAACCACAAACUCCUUCAACUCAUUCCUCUACAAUGGCUAAUCUUGGAAAAUACCCCCACAGGCUCUGGCUGUCACAAACGUGUACUGACAAUAACCAUAGAGUAAGACAGGUCAGAGCUUUGUCAUCUCCUCUAGUUGGAACUCCGAUUACUUCGAUCUCCGAUGACUUCUCCGGCGGAUUAAGGUGUUAAACAUGGCUUCAAAUCCUCGGCAUCAAGAGUCUCGGUCCCAUUCAGCAUCACCCAAUAGGAGAAUGACACAUGUCAGUUUAAUAAUAUUCUUUAUUUUUUAUUUUUAAUAAAUAAAUUUAGAAAUUUACUAAUAUUUGCAAAUCGGUCCUUCUAUUUCUCUUUCGCUAUUGCCAUUUUCAUUCUCUCUGUCCAUUCAUUCCAUGUUCGUAGUCAUUCAUUGUUUUUGCUAUGCGUAGCUUGUCCUCAUCCUCGUCGUCCCUGUCCCCGUACUCCACCCCAGCUCACCCAGCAGCCCCCGUGGUUGGCUUUCUUUCCUCAUUUCUGUAAAACCUGCAGUUUAUUUUGACAUUAAAAAAGUGUAAAAAAGAUAAAUUUUUCGUCGUUGGUCAGGCCAGCUCCGUAGCCGGCCGGCCAGCCCCGUGGCAACAGCAUCAUUGGAACAUUUUUUUCAGAAUUAUUUUCAAUUUCAGUCAAAUUUUGUUGAUUUGGGAUUUAAGUUUGGAUUUUUUUAUUUUUUUUUGUGUAUUGUGUUAAUUUUAACACGAUUGAUUUAGACUUGUUACAUUUUGGUUUUUAUUUUUUAAAUUUUAUUAUUUUUUUACUCAAUAGAUUUUGUUGAUUUAGGGUUUAUAUUGUUUGAAAUAAUUUGAUAUUUAGAUAUGACAUAGGAUUAAUAGUUUAGAUAAUGAAAUUUAGUGCAUUGCGUUGAGUUUUACUACAAUAAUCAUAAAUCUGCUAGCUUUGAGAGAGCUAUAAAGAACCAGGACAAGCAAAACAAGGCACAACCUACUGCUUAAUUAGUAGCUACUGCAAAAAGGUCAAGUCGCGAGAUUUUGGUGGGAGUGAAUCCAAAAAACAUUGUGGCUCAAAUGCAAUUUCUACUAUGAUUGUUCACCUUUAGGCCUGAUUGAGUAUUUUCUGUGGCCUUCUGAUUAUUCACCUUAUGGAAUGUCUGGUUAUUUGCUAUGUCCUUCGAAUUAUUUACCUCACUUGUUGGCCUCCCAGAAACAGUGGAUGAUAUAUUGCACUAGUUGUCUUUUAAUUUUCCUAAAAAGCAAGGAAUAUUUGUAGUAAUAUAGAUACGUUCUUUUGCUUGUUUUACCUAGAGGUUUAUGAUUUUAUUUGGGAUUGUAUUGAAUUAUUUGAUCUAGUAUUCAAUUAUUGAUUUCAUUAGGUUUUACUUUCACUUUUACCAA